GCUUACGGCCAUACCAGCCUGGCUAUGCCCGAUCUCGUCUGAUCUCGGAAGCUAAGCAGGUUUGGACCUGGUUAGUACUUGGAUGGGAGACCGCCUGGGAAUACCAGGUACUGUAAGCU
rnacentral:rRNA from 1 species